rnacentral:tRNA from 1 species
GUGGAUAUAGCUUAGUUGGUAGAGUGCUUGCCUUGCAUGCAGAAGGCCCUGGGUUCAACCCCAGAACCACC